AAGUGUGAUCGGUAACAUUUCUCAGCGAAAGUGUAGGACAUGUUUUAAUACAUUGUAGGAAAUACAAUAGAGAAAGUGAAAUACUGGAAAGUAAGUUAGCGAAAGAGAAGAUUAGGUUAGCAGUGGAAGAUAUUUUAGAUUGCACUCAGAACACAUAGGUUAUAAAGCAUUAUACUCAUAUUUUUUGAAAAAGACUGGGUUGAAUAAAAGUAUAUAGAGCAGGGUUCCGGCAGCACGGUGGUACAGGGGUUAGUGCAUGUGCUUCACAAUACGAAUGUCCUGAGAAGUCCUGAGUUCAAUCCUGGGCUCGGGAUCUUUCUGUGUGGAUUUUUCAUGUUCUCCCUGGGGGUAAGUUGAUUGGCAACACUAAAUCGACCCAAGUGUGUGAAUGUGGGUGUCUUGUCCUGGGUGUACACCGCCUUCCGCCCAAAUGCAGCUGAGAUAGGCUCCAGCACCCCCCGUGACCCCAAAAGGGACAAGCAGUAGAAAAUGGAUGUAUGGAGUAGGGUUCCCCCUCAGCCCACACUCCAUUUCAGUAGGUGGCGGUAAUGCACACCAGAAGGUUGCUUGCCAACCGCCAUUAAACAAAAGAUGUGGUCGGACACAUAAACAAUGUAAUCUAAAUUGAUGAUGGACAAGGAUCAUUAUGCACGAAGGGAUAAACGACAUUGGCAGACAGCAGCCCGAGCCUUAAGCAGGACUUCAUCCAUCCCUAAACACCGUUGCACAGUUCCAAGUGAACACUUUAAUCUCCGGUCUCACUCCCAACAUGCAGCUUCAGAAGGAGCUUAGCCUUAACACCUAGUUCUCCUCUGCCUGUCGCUCGCAACUUUGAUGUGUUUUGGUGGAGAUGACCUCUCUUUGGGCCAGACGGUCUCCAUUUAAACAGAGCUAGAAUCCACACAAUGUCUGCCAAUCUCCCCACACGUGCACCAGCUCAACUCUUCGUCACUGAUUGACGUCCUUCAGGUCUCUGAUCCCACUGAUUUAGUUCCACCUCUGACCACCAUACACUGGACUUGGACCUGUCAUUCACAACAAUUCUUCACACAUCCCUGUCAUCAUUACAACACGUGAGUACACCAGACGCCUCCAUACACAUUCUGUCAACUUUCACCACCUCAUAAAUCUCCCCAAACAUCAACAAUCCACUCCUCCACCUGUCAACAUCAACAUGGCACUUUUAAACGUUCUCUGUCUUUUAAACAAAACUUGUUUAAUGUUUGAUACAAUUGAUACACAGACCUGAAAAUAUCUUGUGGCGUACCUCAGGGAGCAAUACCCAGAUCAAAAUUGUUCAAUCUCUACAUAUAUGACAUUUGUAAAGUUACAAAGGACUUAAGGAUAGGAUAGGUCUUUAUUGUCAUUGCACAAGUACAAGGAAACUUUGUUUUCAGCACAAACCUGUUCAAGAUUAGACAAACAAACAGUGUACAGGGUUACAGAACAAGAACGCUGAUGGGUUGCCAUAAGGCGCCCCGUAAAAGAUGGGAUAAAGGUAAACGCUGGGGAAGGAUGAUUAAAAAAUUACAAUCCAGACUGGUCUCAUAAAGGGGCCCAGUCUGGAGUGGGAAAAAAACUCCAUAGCAAAACACAUAUACAUAUUACAACAUACAUCUUGAGAUAUUUAGCAACAGAGGUAAGUUAGUUCAAGGUCAUGGUGGUUGGCCGCAGCUCUCAGGCUCUGACCAUACAUUCAUCACCCCUACGGGAUUUGCGUCGAGGGCGUUGGGUUGGGGUGUAUGUGUGGCGUAUAUUUUUUUGUGGAUGUGUGUGUAAUGCACGUGUCAAAUACAUUUGCGGAGACUAUUAGGCUCUUGCCUUUCUAUUUACUCUUUGCCCACUUCCUAGUCAUGUGACCGCCACAGUCCAAUCAGCUGUAGGUAUAUACCGGUAGACGAAAGUGACUGGUAUGCUCUUGCUCUAGUUAAUCUUUGGCAACUCGGCGCACUCCUCCCUUGUCACGUGACCGCCGCGGUCCAAUUAGUGGUGCUUAUAAGCCGAUAGCAGGAAGUAGCCAGGAGACAAGACAUGAGAGAUCGAUUGCAUUUCUGCUCGAGAGCCGACUUCCAGCGCCGGAUUCUUUGUCAUUAAGCUGUGUUUGACUGUAGAAGCUGAGUUGGCCAGGCUUCUCUUUUUGAUGGCAAGCUAAGGAAAAUAAUCACCUAGUCCAAGGAUCGGUUUUGGAAGAUUCCAGCCAGGAACCUCACCACCUGCUCUGUCUGGGCUGGUAGGAGGCUCUCAAGCCAACCCUUUACAAUUCUCACUUUACCUGCAGCACAUGGACUGUACUGCCAUCCUUUUUUUUCCAAGAACUAUUAUCUGAACUGAGAUUUAAACAAGAUCCAGAGACACUGAUUAGUUUAAAUGGAAUUGUAUAUAUGUAUAUAGUACUUGUGUUUUUCUUUUUAAAUUGCUUUCAUGUUGAAUGGCCAUUCAACUCAUUGUGUGUGUAUAUACCUGCUGUCCAUCACUAAUUCUCUAAUACACGGUGUCAACCAAACUACAAUUCAAGCUCUGCCUCUCUCUACGAGUUGAAACUAGUCUUCUGUUCCUAGCCCAUAACAACCCAUAUAUAUAUUUAUUGCAUUGCUUUGUAGCACGUAUAGGUUACGUGUGUGUGUGUGUGUGUGAGCCCGUAGUGUGUCUCUGUUCUGCGGCCUUGAUGUAUUGUGCAGUCGCUAGUCCAAAGUCAAC